rnacentral:rRNA from 1 species
GACGAACGCUGGCGGCGUGCCUAACACAUGCAAGUCGAACGGAACUGUUUUGAAAGAUUUCUUCGGAAUGAAUUUGAUUUAGUUUAGUGGCGGACGGGUGAGUAACGCGUGAGUAACCUGCCUUCAAGAGGGGAAUAACAUUCUGAAAAGAAUGCUAAUACCGCAUGACAUAUCGGAACCACAUGGUUUUGAUAUCAAAGAUUUUAUCGCUUGAAGAUGGACUCGCGUCCGAUUAGUUAGUUGGUGAGGUAACGGCUCACCAAGACCGCGAUCGGUAGCCGGAAUGGGAGGGUGAACGGCCAAAUUGGGAAUGAGACAACGCACAGAAUCCUACCGGAGGGAGGAGGGGGGGAUAUUGCGCAAUGGGGGCAACCCUGACGCAGCAACGCCGCGUGAAGGAUGAAGGUUUUCGGAUUGUAAACUUCUUUUAUUAAGGACGAAAAAUGACGGUACUUAAUGAAUAAGCGCCGGCUAACUACGUG